rnacentral:rRNA from 1 species
UGGGGAAUUGUUCGCAAUGGGCGCAAGCCUGACGACGCAACGCCGCGUGGAGGACGAAGAUCUUCGGGUCGUAAACUCCUGUCGAGUGGGACGAAUAGCCCGCGGGGUAAUAUCCUGCGGGAAUGACGGUACCACUAAAGGAAGCCCCGGCUAACUCCGUGCCAGCAGCCGCGGUAAUACGGGGGGGGCAAGCGUUGUUCGGAAUUACUGGGCGUAAAGGGCUCGUAGGCGGCCAACUAAGUCGGACGUGAAAUCCCUCGGCUCAACCGGGGAACUGCGUCCGAUACUGGUUGGCUUGAAUCCGGGAGAGGGAUGCGGAAUUCCAGGUGUAGCGGUGAAAUGCGUAGAUAUCUGGAGGAACACCGGUGGCGAAGGCGGCAUCCUGGACCGGCAUUGACGCUGAGGAGCGAAAGCCAGGGGAGCAAACGG